UUGGCGGUAGCUUAACUGGCAAAGCCCCUGGCUGUGAACUAGGGAGAUAUGGGAUCGAAGCCCAUGCGUCACCCCA
rnacentral:tRNA from 1 species